AAGUCGUAACAAGGUUUCCGUAGGUGAACCUGCGGAAGGAUCAUUACAGAAUAAACCUGGCUUGGUUGUUGCUGGCUCUCUCGGGAGCAUGUGCACGCCGGUCACUUUUAUCUUACCACCUGUGAACACUUUGUAGAUCUGGAGGCAUCUUCACAGACUCUUUUGUCUGUGGUUUUUGGAAGUGUUCCGACUCUUCCUGGCCUUCAGGUUUAUGUCUUUACAUCUACACCAUAAGCAUGUAAACGAAUGAAUCAAUGGCAGCUUCAUUGCAGCCUAUAAAACUUAAACAACUUUCAGCAACGGAUCUCUUGGCUCUC
rnacentral:misc_RNA from 1 species